rnacentral:rRNA from 1 species
UUUUCGCUAAGGGAUCAGCCUAUGUCCUAUCAGGUAGUUGGUGAGGUAACGGCUCACCAAGCCAAUGACGGGUAUCUGGUUUGAGAGGAUGAUCAGACACACUGGAACUGAGACACGGUCCAGACUCCUACGGGAGGCAGCAGUGAGGAAUAUUGCACAAUGGAGGAAACUCUGAUGCAGCAACGCCGCGUGGAGGAUGACGCAUUUCGGUGUGUAAACUCCUUUUAAGAGGGAAGAUUAUGACGGUACCUCUUGAAUAAGCACCGGCUAACUCCGUGCCAGCAGCCGCGGUAAUACGGAGGGUGCAAGCGUUACUCGGAAUCACUGGGCGUAAAGGGUGCGUAGGCUGACUUUUAAGUCAGGCGUGAAAUCCAAUGGCUUAACCAUUGAACUGCGCUUGAAACUGGGAGUCUAGAGUUCAGAAGGGGCAGAUGGAAUUAGUGGUGUAGGGGUAAAAUCCGUAGAUAUCACUAGGAAUAUCAAAAGCGAAGGCGAUCUGCUGGGAUGAUACUGACGCUGAGGCACGAAAGCGUGGGGAGCAAACAGGAUUAGAUACCCUGGUAGUCCACGCCCUAAACGAUGAAUGCUAGUCGUCGGGGAGCUCGUCUCUUCGGUGAUGCACUUAACAGAUUAAGCAUUCCGCCUGGGGAGUACGGUCGCAAGAUUAAAACUCAAAGGAAUAGACGGGGACCCGCACAAGUGGUGGAGCAUGUGGUUUAAUUCGAAGAUACACGAAGAACCUUACCUGGCCUUGACAUGGUAGGAACCCUGUAGAGAUACGGGGGUGCUGGCUUGCUAGAGCCUACACACAGGUGCUGCACGGCUGUCGUCAGCUCGUGUCGUGAGAUGUUGGGUUAAGUCCCGCAACGAGCGCAACCCUCGUCCUUAGUUGCUAACGGUUCGGCCGAGCACUCUAAGGAGACUGCCUUCGCAAGGAGGAGGAAGGUGAGGACGACGUCAAGUCAUCAUGGCCCUUACGGCCAGGGCUACACACGUGCUACAAUGGGGCGUACAGAGAGCUGCGAUACCGCGAGGUGGAGCCAAUCUCUUAAAGCGUCUCUCAGUUCGGAUUGUUCUCUGCAACUCGAGAACAUGAAGCUGGAAUCACUAGUAAUCGCAGAUCAGCUAUGCUGCGGUGAAUACGUUCCCGGGUCUUGUACUCACCGCCCGUCACACCAUGGGAGUUGAUUUCACCCGAAAU